AAAAAGAAAGAAAGAAAAUACUGGUAUAUAUCCAGAUGCAGUGGGCUACAAAACGUGGAAUGAUCAUUAAUUCCUGUUAUAUUUCUUUUUUUUCUGUAGCCUUGGAUCCUUAGACUCACCAAUAACUGAAGCUACAGUGAUUACAAACCUGAUAGAACCUCACAAUUUGAACAGAAAAGGAGGAGACAAAAUUGCAGCGUGUGUUUGGGGCAGAGGUCAGGAAGGCUGAGAUGUAGACCACAUCUGCAUCUUUUGGGCCAGCAGCCUUUGGAAUGAUCAGGGAACAGUGAGUGUAGGAGCUUGUCUUAUAGCUGCUGCGCCUAUCCCAACCUUUGCCCCCAGUUAUCUCAUUUAGAAAACCCUCUGGCUCCAGGGGUCCUUCUACUGCCUCCAUGUAAUAGAUGUCUGCAUGAGUCAGGGGUAGAAACUCCACCCCUCCAGGGGUGAGGGUCUUAAUCCACAAUGAGCUGCAGGUGUUUCCAAGGACAAACUUUAGUCUCAGAUCACAUUCAUAUCAGAGGUCCUAGGUCACCCAGUUCACUUUCCAGGAUCAUAUACAUUCUUUCAUUAGGGUCACAAGAGAUACAGUAACUUCUGCAUGGUCUUCUGAUCCAUGCCCAUUGUGAGCAAGAGUGACUGAUUCAGACAGAUACAGGACAGGAUAUGAUUCGAUCUUCUAACAUCACACUGAUUAUCAGGAAUACAAAGUAAAGGAGGAACAUUGUGAAGCCCAGGAUCUUGUUCAUUCUCCAUUUACAUGACGCAAUUGAAGAGAUCACAAACAGAAGCAUGAGAAAAAGCAAAACAAUUGCACAAAACAAGCCAUUGCUGCUGACUGGAACUGGCUGUAAUCCAUUGAUAAGAGAGAAAAGCAACCAAGGAACAGGCAAGCUGCAAGAUUGAAGAAACGAUGUGAAUAGAAACUGCACGAAUUCACUUGAUCCUCGAGAUUCCCUGAGUACCGGAGAUUGAUCCUGAAGGAAAGUGUCGUUGGGACCUGCUGGUAGAGGAUUUCGUUCCUGCUGUUCACUCACCUGGUGAGCCCACCACACCAUGAGGCCUAAAGGAAAUCCUUGGUGUAGAGGGCACUAAUGGAUCUCCCCAGAGCAGGCUGGGACAUCCCAAGAUACCUGAGGAGUUGGCGCCCUGAGCCCCCCGCGCCUCCAGCCCAUGACUUGGAGCUGAUCAAAGUGGGAGUAGGGUAAGGUAGUGGGGAUCUUGUGAUCCUAACCAUUGAUCUGGAAGCCCUUUCAAUCAUUCAGCUAACUCGGCCUGACAUUUACUGACUGCCCCUUUCUCCCUUUCCUGUUUCCUCCAGAGUACCUGGGUGCAUGAUGCUUUGGGUUACUUUCAUCUGAAAUAGCAGUUAAUCCUCACAGCCUCACCUCUACCCUGCUUCACCUUGAGUGGCCUGGAACAGUAAGAAGGUCACGAGCUCCCUCUGCUGAAGCCCACAGAAGGGCCCACCCACUGUGGAAGAGCUGGCUUCAUCUCUGAGUAUGCUGGGGUCACUCUGGAUGUUGGAAGCCUGGGAUCAGGACCUGAGGUCUGCUAGUUACAUGUCCUUGCCUUUAUGCUGCUGUGGGCAGAACAAAAUCUAGUUCUUUCCCUUUUCAUGCCACUAUGUAACACAGUCUCAAUCUGGCCCAGAAAGAUGAAAAAAGGAAUAUAAUUCACAAAGUAAAAUGAGUGAUCUUUUUUCUGAAAUAACUCCUCUAUUUUUACAAUGUUGUUUAUUCAAUAUAAAAAA
rnacentral:lncRNA from 1 species